UUCGCUGGAAGCUGUGGGAAGAAC
rnacentral:piRNA from 1 species